rnacentral:rRNA from 1 species
GACGAACGCUGGCGGCGUGCUUAACACAUGCAAGUCGAACGGAAAGGCCCUUCGGGGUGCUCGAGUGGCGAACGGGUGAGUAACACGUGGGUGAUCUGCCCUGCACUUUGGGAUAAGCCUGGGAAACUGGGUCUAAUACCGAAUAUGAUCGCUGGCUUCAUGGCUGGUGGUGGAAAGCUUUUGCGGUGUGGGAUGGGCCCGCGGCCUAUCAGCUUGUUGGUGGGGUAAUGGCCUACCAAGGCGACGACGGGUAGCCGGCCUGAGAGGGUGUCCGGCCACACUGGGACUGAGAGACGGCCCAGACUCCUACGGGAGGCAGCAGUGGGGAAUAUUGCACAAUGGGCGCAAGCCUGAUGCAACGACGCCGCGUGAGGGAUGACGGCCUUCGGGUUGUAAACCUCUUUCGCCAGGGACGAAGCGUAAGUGACGGUACCUGGAGAAGAAGCACCGGCCAACUACGUGCCAGCAGCCGCCGUAAAAC